AUUGAACGCUGGCGGCAUGCUUUACACAUGCAAGUCGAACGGCAGCGCGGGGCAACCUGGCGGCGAGUGGCGAACGGGUGAGUAAUAUAUCGGAACGUACCCAGAAGUGGGGGAUAACGUAGCGAAAGUUACGCUAAUACCGCAUACGAUCUACGGAUGAAAGUGGGGGACCUUCGGGCCUCAUGCUUGUGGAGCGGCCGAUAUCUGAUUAGCUAGUUGGUGAGGUAAAGGCUCACCAAGGCGACGAUCAGUAGCUGGUCUGAGAGGACGACCGGCCACACUGGGACUGAGACACGGCCCAGACUCCUACGGGAGGCAGCAGUGGGGAAUUUUGGACAAUGGGCGCAAGCCUGAUCCAGCAAUGCCGCGUGAGUGAAGAAGGCCUUCGGGUUGUAAAGCUCUUUUGUCAGGGAAGAAACGGGACUGGUUAAUACCUGGUCCUAAUGACGGUACCUGAAGAAUAAGCACCGGCUAACUACGUGCCAGCAGCCGCGGUAAAAC
rnacentral:rRNA from 1 species